rnacentral:rRNA from 1 species
GUGCCAGCAGCCGCGGUAAAACGUAGGAGACAAACGUUAUCCGGAGUUACUGGGCGUAAAGGGCGUGCAGGUGGUCUGUUAAGUCUGGCGUGAAAGCUCCUGGCUAAACCGGGAGAGGUCGUUGGAUACUGGCGGACUAGAGGACGGUAGAGGCGUGUGGAAUUCCGGGUGUAGUGGUGAAAUGCGUAGAGAUCCGGAGGAACACCAGUGGCGAAGGCGACACGCUGGGCCGUACCUGACACUGAUACGCGACAGCAUGGGGAGCGAACGGGAUUAGAUACCCGCGUAGUCC